UGGGGAAUAUUGCGCAAUGGGCGAAAGCCUGACGCAGCGACGCCGCGUGAGGGAUGAAGGUUUUCGGAUCGUAAACCUCUGUCAGAAGGGAAGAAACCGCACUGUGCUAAUCAGCAGUGCCUUGACGGUACCUUCAAAUGAAGCACCGGCUAACUCCGUGCCCGCAGCCGCGGUAAUACGGAGGGUGCAAGCGUUAAUCGGAAUUACUGGGCGUAAAGCGCACGUAGGCUGCUUUGUAAGUCAGGGGUGAAAUCCCACGGCUCAACCGUGGAUCUGCCUUUGAUACUGCUUAGCUUGAGUCCGAGAGAGGGUGGCGGAAUUCCAGGUGUAGGAGUGAAAUCCGUAGAUAUCUGGAGGAACAUCAGUGGAGAAGGCGGCCACCUGGACCGGUAUUGACGCUGAGGUGCGAAAGCGUGGGGAGCAAACAGG
rnacentral:rRNA from 1 species